CCUACGGGGGGCAGCAGUGGGGAAUAUUGGACAAUGGGCGAAAGCCUGAUCCAGCCAUGCCGCGUGUGUGAAGAAGGCCUUCGGGUUGUAAAGCACUUUCAGUGGGGAAGAAAGCCUUGGGGCUAAUACCCUCGAGGAAGGACAUCACCCACAGAAGAAGCACCGGCUAACUCCGUGCCAGCAGCCGCGGUAAUACGGAGGGUGCGAGCGUUAAUCGGAAUUACUGGGCGUAAAGCGCGCGUAGGCGGUCUGAUAAGCCGGUUGUGAAAGCCCCGGGCUCAACCUGGGAACGGCAUCCGGAACUGUCAGGCUAGAGUGCAGGAGAGGAAGGUAGAAUUCCCGGUGUAGCGGUGAAAUGCGUAGAGAUCGGGAGGAAUACCAGUGGCGAAGGCGGCCUUCUGGACUGACACUGACGCUGAGGUGCGAAAGCGUGGGUAGCAAACAGGAUUAGAUACCCCAGUAGUC
rnacentral:rRNA from 1 species